UAUUAGAGGCACUGCCUGCCCAGUGACAUAUGUUCAACGGCCGCGGUAUCCUGACCGUGCAAAGGUAGCAUAAUCAUUUGUUCCUCAAAUAGGGACUUGCAUGAAUGGCUUAACGAGGGUUCAACUGUCUCUUACUCCCAAUCAGUGAAAUUGACCUCCCCGUGAAGAGGCGGGGAUAAUCAAAUAAGACGAGAAGACCCUAUGGAGCUUAAAUUUACUAAUCUAAGCAAUCUGAUAUUAACUCUCCCCGGAAUAAUUAAAAUCCUGCCUUUAGAUUACAGAUUUUGGUUGGGGUGACCUCGGAGCACAAGACAACCUCCGAAUGAUUUUAACCUAGACAUCACAUGUCCAAGUUCAUAUUCAUCAAUUGACCCAAUCCUAUUGAUCAACGGAACAAGUUACCCUAGGGAUAACAGCGCAAUCCUACUCAAGAGUCCAUAUCGACAGUAGGGUUUACGACCUCGAUGUUGGAUCAGGACAUCCAAAUGGUGUAACCGCUAUUAAUGGUUCGUUUGUUCAACGAUUAAAGUC
rnacentral:rRNA from 1 species